GAUGAACGCUAGCGGCAGGCUUAACACAUGCAAGUCGAGGGGUAACAUAGAAAAGCUUGCUUUUCUGAUGACGACCGGCGCACGGGUGCGUAACGCGUAUACAACCUACCUUUUAGCGGGGAAUAGCCCAGGGAAACUUGGAUUAAUGCCCCAUAGUAUAUAGACUUCUCCUGAAGUUUAUAUUAAACAUUUAUGGCUAUUAGAUGGGUAUGCGUCCUAUUAGUUAGUUGGUAAGGUAACGGCUUACCAAGGCAGCGAUAGGUAGGGGUCCUGAGAGGGAGAUCCCCACACUGGUACUGAGACACGGACCAGACUCCUACGGGAGGCAGCAGUGAGGAAUAUUGGACAAUGGGCGAGAGCCUGAUCCAGCCAUGCCGCGUGCAGGAAGACUGCCCUAUGGGUUGUAAACUGCUUUUACAGAGGAAGAACCACCCCACGUGUGGGGGUUUGACGGUACUCUGCGAAUAAGGAUCGGCUAACUCCGUG
rnacentral:rRNA from 1 species